rnacentral:tRNA from 1 species
AGCAGCGUGGCUCAGUGGAAAGAGCCUGGGCUUGGGAGCCAGAGGUCAUGGGUUCACAUCCCGCCUCAGCCA